rnacentral:rRNA from 1 species
GACGAACGCUGGCGGCGUGCUUAACACAUGCAAGUCGAACGGAAAGGCCCUGCUUUUGUGGGGUGCUCGAGUGGCGAACGGGUGAGUAGCACGUGAGUAACCUGCCCUUGACUUUGGGAUAACUUCAGGAAACUGGGGCUAAUACCGGAUAGGAGCUCCUGCUGCAUGGUGGGGGUUGGAAAGUUUCGGCGGUUGGGGAUGGACUCGCGGCUUAUCAGCUUGUUGGUGGGGUAGUGGCUUACCGAGGCUUUGACGGGUAGCCGGCCUGAGAGGGUGACCGGCCACAUUGGGACUGAGAUACGGCCCAGACUCCUACGGGAGGCAGCAGUGGGGAAUAUUGCACAAUGGGCGGAAGCCUGAUGCAGCAACGCCGCGUGCGGGAUGACGGCCUUCGGGUUGUAAACCGCUUUCGCCUGUGACGAAGCGUGAGUGACGGUAAUGGGUAAAGAAGCACCGGCUAACUACGUG